rnacentral:rRNA from 1 species
UACGGAGGGUGCAAGCGUUAUCCGGAUUCACUGGGUUUAAAGGGUGCGUAGGUGGGAAUGUAAGUCAGUGGUGAAAUCUCCGUGCUUAACAUGGAAACUGCCAUUGAUACUAUGUUUCUUGAAUUUUCCGGAGGUAAGCGGAAUAUGUCAUGUAGCGGUGAAAUGCUUAGAUAUGACAUAGAACACCAAUUGCGAAGGCAGCUUACUACAGGGAUAUUGACACUGAGGCACGAAAGCGUGGGAUCAAACAGGA